rnacentral:tRNA from 1 species
GGGCCGGUAGUUAAACCUGGUAUAACGCGCCGCUGGCCGCGGUGANNAGGCUUCGGGUUCAAAUCCCGACCGGUCCA